GCGGGCGUGGCGAAACUGGUAGACGCACUAGACUUAGGAUCUAGCGACUUCGGUCAUGGGGGUUCAAGUCCCUUCGCCCGCACCA
rnacentral:tRNA from 2 species